AAGGGAGAGCUUCUUGAAUUGGGAACCGCUAUCAGCCAGCCCUAUGGUCAAUCCUUUGCAGGAUUUUGGGGCUUUGUUUAAGCCCCCAGAAUAGACCUUCAACCAAGAGCUAAGGGCCAUUCAAAACCGGCUACUGUUUCUGUUAUCUGGGUGGUUUCAAGACUUGCAACAGUCCUAAUUUCAGUUACUAUUUUCUGGGUAACUUCUAGACCACAUAUCUCUCCAACCAUUAGUCCAUCAAGGCUAAUAAUUUGAGGACCAAUCAAGCCCUACCUGAAGAAGGUUCGACCAUCACAGAUUGACCACCAGACACUUGCCACCUCAGUUCUUGGAGAUCAACAGAAUAUUCCUUAUUUAAGACCUGAGAUCAAGAACCUGCAGAUCUCUCAGAUCUGUGACCUGUUGGAAGAGGCAUUUUAGGGUUUUGUCAGGGACACCAAGGGAGCUACUCAAUCCAAGUUUGAGCCCCAUCAGAGGCUCCUUCAGACAGCCGCAGAGUCGGAGCUUCUUCUCCAGUUUACAAUGCAACACAAACUGCGGUCUAGCCAUUGUGCGUGAUUGCAAAGAUAAUAUUCACCUUUUUCUGUGGGGCAGAGUUGGAACUUCUUCUCCAGUCUAUGUAUUUUCCUUCUCGGCAACAGAGGAACUAGGCCUACUCUUCCAACAUAGCAGACGACUACAUAUACACUUUUUUUCUGUGGGGCAGAGUUAAAGCUUCUUCUCUAGUCUAUGGAUUUACCUUCUCUGCAUCAGUGGCACUAGCCUACUCUUCCAACGUAGCAGACGACUACAUAUAUUCACUUCUUUUCUGUGGGGUCUGUUGGAGCUUCUUCUCUAGUCUAUGGAUUGUGGCACUAGGCCUACUCUUCUAAUGUAGCAAACGACUAACAAACUUACCUAUGGUGUGUGCAUUUGUGGUAGAGAAACAUAUAUCUUGAAUAUUUUCAAUUUUCCACUUGUACAACACUAAACAAAAAUAGAAGAAGUUUCAUUUUCCUUCAA